rnacentral:rRNA from 1 species
CCUGCCAGAGGCUACUGCUAUCGGGGUCCGACUAAGCCAUGCGAGUUGAGAGGGGUAAGCCCUCGGCAUAUUGCUCAGUAACACGCGGAUAACCUGCCCUUGGGUUUGGGAUAACCCCGGGAAACUGGGACUAAUACCGGAUAGAUCAAAGAAACUGGAAUGUUCUCUGAUCGAAAGCUCCGGCGCCCAAGGAUGGGUCUGCGGCCUAUCAGGUAGUAGUGGGUGUAACGUACCUACUAGCCUACGACGGGUAAGGGUUGUGAGAGCAAGAGCCCUGAGAUGGAUUCUGAGACAUGAAUCCAGGCCCUACGGGGUGCAGCAGGCGCGAAAACUUUACACUGCGGGAAACCGCGAUAAGGGGACCCCGAGUGCCAGCACCUAGUGCUGGCUGUCCAGCUGUUCAAAUAACAGUUGUUAGCAAGGGCCGGGCAAGACCGGUGCCAGCCGCCGCGGUAACACCGGCGGCCCGAGUGGUAGCCGUUAUUAUUGGGUUUAAAGGGUCCGUAGCCGGCCUAUUAAGUCUCUUGGGAAAUCUGGCGACUCAAUCGUCAGGCGUUCAAGAGAUACUGGUAGGCUUGGGACCGGGAGAGGUGGGAGGUACUCCAGGGGUAGGGGUGAAAUCUCGUAAUCCUUGGGGGACCACCGAUGGCGAAGGCAUCCCACCAGAACGGGUCCGACGGUGAGGGACGAAAGCUGGGGGCACGAACCGGAUUAGAUACCCGGGUAGUCCCAGCCGUAAACGAUGCUCGCUAGGUGUCAGGUGCGGUGCGACCGCAUCUGGUGCCGCAGUGAAAACUUGAAGCGAGUCACCUGGGAAGUACGGUCGCAAGGCUGAAACUUAAAGGAAUUGGCGGGGGAGCACUACAACGGGUGGAGCCUGCGGUUCAAUUGGAUUCAACGCCGGG